CGGACGGGUGAGUAACGCGUGGGUAACCUGCCUCAUACAGGGGGAUAACGAUUGGAAACGAUUGCUAAUACCGCAUAAGCGCACAGUACCACAUGGUACGGUGUGAAAAACUCCGGUGGUAUGAGAUGGACCCGCGUCUGAUUAGCUAGUUGGUGAGGUAACGGCCCACCAAGGCAACGAUCAGUAGCCGACCUGAGAGGGUGACCGGCCACAUUGGGACUGAGACACGGCCCAG
rnacentral:rRNA from 1 species